UACGUAGGGUGCGAGCGUUAAUCGGAAUUACUGGGCGUAAAGCGUGCGCAGGCGGUUCGUUGUGUCGGUGGUGAAAGCCCCGGGCUUAACCUGGGAAUGGCCAUGGAAACUGGCGGGCUGGAGUGCGGCAGAGGGGGGUGGAAUUCCACGUGUAGCAGUGAAAUGCGUAGAGAUGUGGAGGAACACCGAUGGCGAAGGCAGCCCCCUGGGCCGACACUGACGCUCAGGCACGAAAGCGUGGGGAGCAAACAGG
rnacentral:rRNA from 1 species